rnacentral:tRNA from 1 species
AUGUCUUAAUUGAAAUAUAUUCAAUCUUAGUUUCGACCUAGGUUUAGAGCUCGCUCAAGACAUC